UACGAGUGCUCCAAGCGUUAUCCGGAAUUAUUGGGCGUAAAGGGUGUGUAGGCGGUAGUGUUAGUCUUUUGUUAAAUUCUUCGGCUUAACCGGGGGCAUGCAAAAGAAACGGCACAACUAGAGGAUGCGAGAGGUGAAUGGAACUCAUGGAGUAGGGGUGAAAUCCGUUGAUAUCAUGGGGAACACCAAAUGCGAAGGCAAUUCACUGGCGCACUCCUGACGCUGAGACACGAAAGCGUAGGUAGCGAAUGGG
rnacentral:rRNA from 1 species